AGAGUUUGAUCCUGGCUCAGGAUGAACGCUGGCGGCGUGCCUAAUACAUGCAAGUCGAGCGAACGGACGAGAAGCUUGCUUCUCUGAUGUUAGCGGCGGACGGGUGAGUAACACGUGGAUAACCUACCUAUAAGACUGGGAUAACUUCGGGAAACCGGAGCUAAUACCGGAUAAUAUUUUGAACCGCAUGGUUCAAAAGUGAAAGACGGUCUUGCUGUCACUUAUAGAUGGAUCCGCGCUGCAUUAGCUAGUUGGUAAGGUAACGGCUUACCAAGGCAACGAUGCAUAGCCGACCUGAGAGGGUGAUCGGCCACACUGGAACUGAGACACGGUCCAGACUCCUACGGGAGGCAGCAGUAGGGAAUCUUCCGCAAUGGGCGAAAGCCUGACGGAGCAACGCCGCGUGAGUGAUGAAGGUCUUCGGAUCGUAAAACUCUGUUAUUAGGGAAGAACAUAUGUGUAAGUAACUGUGCACAUCUUGACGGUACCUAAUCAGAAAGCCACGGCUAACUACGUGCCAGCAGCCGCGGUAAUACGUAGGUGGCAAGCGUUAUCCGGAAUUAUUGGGCGUAAAGCGCGCGUAGGCGGUUUUUUAAGUCUGAUGUGAAAGCCCACGGCUCAACCGUGGAGGGUCAUUGGAAACUGGAAAACUUGAGUGCAGAAGAGGAAAGUGGAAUUCCAUGUGUAGCGGUGAAAUGCGCAGAGAUAUGGAGGAACACCAGUGGCGAAGGCGACUUUCUGGUCUGUAACUGACGCUGAUGUGCGAAAGCGUGGGGAUCAAACAGGAUUAGAUACCCUGGUAGUCCACGCCGUAAACGAUGAGUGCUAAGUGUUAGGGGGUUUCCGCCCCUUAGUGCUGCAGCUAACGCAUUAAGCACUCCGCCUGGGGAGUACGACCGCAAGGUUGAAACUCAAAGGAAUUGACGGGGACCCGCACAAGCGGUGGAGCAUGUGGUUUAAUUCGAAGCAACGCGAAGAACCUUACCAAAUCUUGACAUCCUUUGACAACUCUAGAGAUAGAGCCUUCCCCUUCGGGGGACAAAGUGACAGGUGGUGCAUGGUUGUCGUCAGCUCGUGUCGUGAGAUGUUGGGUUAAGUCCCGCAACGAGCGCAACCCUUAAGCUUAGUUGCCAUCAUUAAGUUGGGCACUCUAAGUUGACUGCCGGUGACAAACCGGAGAAGGUGGGGAUGACGUCAAAUCAUCAUGCCCCUUAUGAUUUGGGCUACACACGUGCUACAAUGGACAAUACAAAGGGCAGCGAAACCGCGAGGUCAAGCAAAUCCCAUAAAGUUGUUCUCAGUUCGGAUUGUAGUCUGCAACUCGACUACAUGAAGCUGGAAUCGCUAGUAAUCGUAGAUCAGCAUGCUACGGUGAAUACGUUCCCGGGUCUUGUACACACCGCCCGUCACACCACGAGAGUUUGUAACACCCGAAGCCGGUGGAGUAACCUUUUAGGAGCUAGCCGUCGAAGGUGGGACAAAUGAUUGGGGUGAAGUCGUAACAAGGUAGCCGUAUCGGAAGGUGCGGCUGGAUCACCU
rnacentral:rRNA from 1 species